GACGUAGGAGGCGAGCGUUGUCCGGAUUCAUUGGGCGUAAAGAGCACGCAGGCGGUUUGGCAAGUCGGAUGUGAAAACCCGAAGCUCAACUUCGGGCCUGCAUCCGAAACUGCCCGACUAGAGGUAGGUAGGGGAGAUCGGAAUUCCUGGUGUAGCGGUGAAAUGCGCAGAAUAUCGAGGAGGAACACCGGUGGCGAAGGCGGAUCUCGUGGG
rnacentral:rRNA from 1 species